CCAAAACGACUCUCGGCAACGGAUAUCUCGGCUCUCGCAUCGAUGAAGAACGUAGCGAAACGCGACACUUGGUGUGAAUUGCAGAAUCCCGUGAACCAUCGAGUCUUUGAACGCAAGUUGCGCCCGAAGCCAUUAGGCCGAGGGCACGUCUGCCUGGGCGUCACGC
rnacentral:rRNA from 1 species